GGUUAAGUGACUAAGCGUACACGGUGGAUGCCUAGGCAGUCAGAGGCGAUGAAGGGCGUGUUAAUCUGCGAUAAGCGUCGGUAAGGUGAUAUAAACCGUUACAACCGGCGAUACCCGAAUGGGGAAACCCAGUGCAAUUCGUUGCACUAUCAUACGAUGAAUACAUAGUCGUAUGAGGCGAACCGGGGGAACUGAAACAUCUAAGUACCCCGAGGAAAAGAAAUCAACCGAGAUUCCCCCAGUAGCGGCGAGCGAACGGGGAGGAGCCCAGAACCUGAAUCAGUUCUUGUGUUAGUGGAAGCGUCUGGAAAGUCGCACAGUAAAGGGUGAUAGUCCCGUACACUAAAAUGCAUUAAUUGUGAGUUCGAUGAGUAGGGCGGGACACGUGACAUCCUGUCUGAAUAUGGGGGGACCAUCCUCCAAGGCUAAAUACUCCUGACUGACCGAUAGUGAACCAGUACCGUGAGGGAAAGGCGAAAAGAACCCCGGCGAGGGGAGUGAAAUAGAACCUGAAACCGUGUACGUACAAGCAGUGGGAGCCUACUAGUUGGGUGACUGCGUACCUUUUGUAUAAUGGGUCAGCGACUUAUAUUUUGUAGCAAGGUUAACCGUAUAGGGGAGCCGUAGGGAAACCGAGUCUUAACUGGGCGAAUAGUUGCAAGGUAUAGACCCGAAACCCGGUGAUCUAGCCAUGGGCAGGUUGAAGGUUGGGUAACACUAACUGGAGGACCGAACCGACUAAUGUUGAAAAAUUAGCGGAUGACUUGUGGCUGGGGGUGAAAGGCCAAUCAAACCGGGAGAUAGCUGGUUCUCCCCGAAAGCUAUUUAGGUAGCGCCUCGUGAACUCAUCUUCGGGGGUAGAGCACUGUUUCGGCUAGGGGGCCAUCCCGGCUUACCAAACCGAUGCAAACUCCGAAUACCGAAGAAUGUUAUCACGGGAGACACACGGCGGGUGCUAACGUCCGUCGUGAAGAGGGAAACAACCCAGACCGCCAGCUAAGGUCCCAAAGUCAUGGUUAAGUGGGAAACGAUGUGGGAAGGCAUAGACAGCCAGGAUGUUGGCUUAGAAGCAGCCAUCAUUUAAAGAAAGCGUAAUAGCUCACUGGUCGAGUCGGCCUGCGCGGAAGAUGUAACGGGGCUAAACCAUGCACCGAAGCUGCGGCAGCGACGCUUAGGCGUUGUUGGGUAGGGGAGCGUUCUGUAAGCCGUUGAAGGUGGCCUGUGAGGGUUGCUGGAGGUAUCAGAAGUGCGAAUGCUGACAUAAGUAACGAUAAAGCGGGUGAAAAACCCGCUCGCCGGAAGACCAAGGGUUCCUGUCCAACGUUAAUCGGGGCAGGGUGAGUCGACCCCUAAGGCGAGGCCGAAAGGCGUAGUCGAUGGGAAACAGGUUAAUAUUCCUGUACUCGGUGUUACUGCGAAGGGGGGACGGAGAAGGCUAGGCUAGCCGGGCGACGGUUGUCCCGGUUUAAGCGUGUAGGGGGAGUGACUUGGUAAAUCCGGUUACUUAU
rnacentral:rRNA from 1 species